CGUGGGUCGGCACCGGAAGUUCUCUGAGAAGGCUGUGGGCUGCGCCAACGCCCCAGGACUGAUGAAUGGCUGAAAAUCAUCAAACUGAGUCAUUCAUACUACACUUCAGUGGUUGAUGUUAAAGACAUACUGUCCGAGUAGAGAUGUUGUGGAGGGACAGUUCUUUGAAGUUGAUCGUACUAUCAUCAACAAUAUGUAUCGGAGGAGAUUGAGUCACAGAGAAGUUAAACAAGUCUUCGAAUGACAUAAACCAUGACUUGAAU